UACGUAGGGUGCAAGCGUUAAUCGGAAUUACUGGGCGUAAAGCGUGCGCAGGCGGUUGUGUAAGACAGGUGUGAAAUCCCCGGGCUUAACCUGGGAAUUGCAUUUGUGACUGCACGGCUAGAAUCUGGCAGAGGGGGGUAGAAUUCCACGUGUAGCAGUGAAAUGCGUAGAGAUGUGGAGGAAUACCGAUGGCGAAGGCAGCCCCCUGGGCCAAGAUUGACGCUCAUGCACGAAAGCGUGGGGAGCAAACAGG
rnacentral:rRNA from 1 species